GAUGAACGCUGGCGGCGUUCCUAAUACAUGCAAGUCGAGCGAACGGACGAGAAGCUUGCUUCUCUGAUGUUAGCGGCGGACGGGUGAGUAACACGUGGAUAACCUACCUAUAAGACUGGGAUAACUUCGGGAAACCGGAGCUAAUACCGGAUGAUAUUUUGAACCGCAUGGUUCAAAAGUGAAAGACGGUCUUGCUGUCACUUAUAGAUGGAUCCGCGCUGCAUUAGCUAGUUGGUAAGGUAACGGCUUACCAAGGCAACGAUGCAUAGCCGACCUGAGAGGGUGAUCGGCCACACUGGAACUGAGACACGGUCCAGACUCCUACGGGAGGCAGCAGUAGGGAAUCUUCCGCAAUGGGCGAAAGCCUGACGGAGCAACGCCGCGUGAGUGAUGAAGGUCUUCGGAUCGUAAAACUCUGUUAUUAGGGAAGAACAUAUGUGUAAGUAACUGUGCACAUCUUGACGGUACCUAAUCAGAAAGCCACGGCUAACUACGUG
rnacentral:rRNA from 1 species